AUUGAACGCUGGCGGCAGGCCUAACACAUGCAAGUCGAGCGGGGCGGCGGACGGGUGGGUAAUGCCUAUGAAUCUGCCUGGGAGUGGGGGAGGGCGACCGGAAACGGGCGCUAAUACAGCAUACUAUCAGACGAGCCUAGGUGGGAUUAGCUAGGUGGUGGGGUAAGGGCCUACCAAGGCGACGAUCCGUAGCUGGUCUGAGAGGAUGAUCAGCCACACUGGAACUGAGACACGGUCCAGACUCCUACGGGAGGCAGCAGUGGGGAAUAUUGGACAAUGGGCGAAAGCCUGAUCCAGCCAUGCCGCGUGUGUGAAGAAGGUCUUCGGGUUGUAAAGCACUUUAAGUUGGGAGGCGUUACCAGCAGAAGAAGCACCGGCUAACUCCGUGCCAGCAGCCGCGGUAAUAC
rnacentral:rRNA from 1 species